rnacentral:misc_RNA from 1 species
UGGUUCUGGCAUCGAUGAAGAACGCAGCGAAAUGCGAUAAGUAAUGUGAAUUGCAGAAUUCAGUGAAUCAUCGAAUCUUUGAACGCACAUUGCGCCCUCUGGUAUUCCGGGGGGCAUGCCUGUUCGAGCGUCAUUACAACCCUCAAGCUCUGCUUGGUAUUGGGUGUCACCGGAACACGGUGCGCCUUAAAAUCAGUGGCGGUGCCAUUCGGCUUCAAGCGUAGUAAUACUCUCUCGCUUCUGGAGUCCGGUUGAGCCUCUGCCAGCAAGCCAUUAUUUUUCAAGGUUGACCUCGGAUCAGGUAGGGAUACCCGCUGA